rnacentral:rRNA from 1 species
GAUGAACGCUAGCUACAGGCUUAACACAUGCAAGUCGAGGGGAAACGAUAUUGGAAGCUUGCUUCCGAUAGGCGUCGACCGGCGCACGGGUGAGUAACGCGUAUCCAACCUGCCCACCACUUGGGGAUAACCUUGCGAAAGUAAGACUAAUACCCAAUGAUAUCCAUAGAAGACAUCUGAAAUGGAUUAAAGAUUUAUCGGUGAUGGAUGGGGAUGCGUCUGAUUAGCUUGUUGGAGGGGUAACGGCCCACCAAGGCGACGAUCAGUAGGGGUUCUGAGAGGACGGUCCCCCACAUUGGAACUGAGACACGGUCCAAACUCCUACGGGAGGCAGCAGUGAGGAAUAUUGGUCAAUGGGCGAGAGCCUGAACCAGCCAAGUAGCGUGCAGGAUGACGGCCCUAUGGGUUGUAAACUGCUUUUAUAAGGGAAUAAAGUGGGAGUCGUGACUCCUUUUGCAUGUACCUUAUGAAUAAGGACCGGCUAAUUCCGUGCCAGCCGCCGCGGUAA